rnacentral:rRNA from 1 species
GCCUACGGGGGGCAGCAGUGAGGAAUAUUGGUCAAUGGUCGGGAGACUGAACCAGCCAAGCCGCGUGAGGGAUGAAGGUACAGAGUACCGUAAACCUCUUUUGUCAGGGAACAAAGGCGGGGACGUGUCCCCGGAUGAGUGUACCUGAAGAAAAAGCAUCGGCUAACUCCGUGCCAGCAGCCGCGGUAAUACGGAGGAUGCGAGCGUUAUCCGGAUUUAUUGGGUUUAAAGGGUGCGCAGGCGGUCUGUUAAGUCAGCGGUCAAAGCCCGGGGCUCAACCCCGGCCCGCCGUUGGAACUGGCAGG